rnacentral:lncRNA from 1 species
AUAACAGCAUUCAAAUGGAGGAACUGAACAAGUGUCUAAUGCAAGUGAUGCAUCCUCUUCAAAGCAAGAGCUGGAGGCCUCAAAAUUUGAACCUGGUAAGAUGUUGGAAAUAUCUAGCUCUUAAUGCCUUCUUUGUAAGUUACAUUUCAACAUUUGUAUUCAUUUGGGCUCACUUUUGGUGCAUUCUUCAUGAUAUAGGUAGCAAGUAUCCAUUUAUGAAACAGGCCAGUCGCAUGUUGGGUAGCUUUCCUGCUCCUCCUGCAUUUGCCUCUGAGUUCCCUUCAAAAGAUGCAGCUCUCAAGCUAAAUUCUGUGGCACAUGCUUCCAGUUCUGCUCAUGUUAUGGCUGGCAUGAUAAGAGUAACAAACAUGACUUCAUCUGGCAAUCAGUUGAACUGGUCAUAUGACAAAAAUGGAAAUAUCAGCUUUGUUCUUUCUUUUAGCUUGCCACGAGGUGAUAUUAACUCUUCCAGUUUUCUACCAAUGGCUAACCUACUCUCGGGCAAGUCGGCAUCUGUUGUGUCCAGAGGGUGGAUCUUCUUGAUGUUAUUUUGGGUCCUAAUUAUAUCUGUG